UUCCGGUUGAUCCUGCCGGAGGCUACCGCUAUUGGAGUUCGAUUAAGCCAUGCGAGUCGCGAGUCUUAGGGACUCGGCGUACCGCUCAGUAACACGUGGGUAACCUGCCCUAUGCUGGGGGAUAACCUCGGGAAACUGAGAAUAAUACCCCAUAGUUCACCACGCCUGGAACGGUGGGUGGACCAAAGCUCCGGCGGCAUAGGAUGGGCCUGCGGCGUAUCAGGUUGUAGGGGGUGUAAUGUACCCUCUAGCCCUCUACGCGUACGGGUGUUGAGAGACAUCGCCCGGAGAUGGAUUCUGAGACACGAAUCCAGACCCUACGGGGUGCAGCAGGCGCGAAAACUUGGCAAUGCGAGAAAUCGUGACCAGGGAACUCCAAGUGCAUCGGGUAAGACCGAUGCUUUUCUUGACUCUUCAAAGGUCUUGGAAUAAGGGGUGGGUAAGGACGGUGCCAGCCGCCGCGGUAAUACCGGCGCCCCAAGUGGUAGUCGCUUUUAUUGGGCCUAAAACGUCCGUAGCCGGUUUGGUACAUUCGUGGGUAAAUCAACCAGCUCAACUGGUUGAAUUCUGCGAGCACGGCCAGACUUGGGACCGGGAGAGGUGUGGGGUACUCUCAGGGUAGGGGUAAAAUCCUGUCAUCCUGAGGGGACCACCUGUUGCGAAGGCGCCACACUAGAACGGAUCCGACGGUCAGGGACGAAGCCUAGGGGCACGAACCGGAUUAGAUACCCGGGUAGUCCUAGGUGUAAACGCUGUGGACUUGAUGUUGGGGGCGCUCCGAGCGCACUCAGUGUCGAAGCGAAGGUGAUAAGUCCACUGCCUGGGGAGUACGGUCGCAAGGCUGAAACUUAAAGGAAUUGGCGGGGGAGCACCGCAACCUGAGGAUUGUGCGGUUUAAUUGGAUUCAACGCCGG
rnacentral:rRNA from 1 species